CCCUUAGAUGUUCUGGGCUGCACGCGCGCUACACUGAAGCUAUCAACACGUUUUCCCUCCCUGAGAAGGGCGGGUAACCUUUUGAAUCAGCUUCGUGGUAGGGAUCGGGGCUUGCAAUUGUUCCCCGUGAACCAGGAAUUCCUAGUAGACGAGAGUCAUAAGCUCGCAUCGAUUAAGUCCCUGCCCUUUGUACACACCGCCCGUCGCUACUACCGAUUGAACGUUUUAGUGAGGCAUUUGGACCGACGCAUCUCAGUUUAACCGCUGGUUUGUGUUGGAAAGACUUCCAAACUUGAGCGUUUAGAGGAAGUAAAAGUCGUAACA
rnacentral:rRNA from 1 species